UGUAAAGAUGAAACAAUUUUAGUGUAAUAGUAAAAUCCGAGCCCCAUAUGGUAAAUGAAAUUUUUUAAAAAAUUGUCACUGGCUUGUCAAAUGUGAUAAUAAAAAGGAUAAUGGAAAGUCCAACCAAACAGAAAACUUUAACAUAAGAAAUCUAAUUCACCUCAUUUCUAAAUUUGCUAAUCAAGAUGCUCAAUGAAAAUUGCCUCAUUAAUCUACUUUGAAAAUCAAAAAAUUUUUCUAAUUGCCUUGAGAAUUUUUAGUCUGUUUUGCAUUUGUCUUAAGUCAUGUGUUGACACUUGUUUGUUAUAUUGGAGUAUAUUAUGCGUGUAAGCUUCUGGAUUAUGUUUAUUAUAACACGGAUUUAAUAAUUUUGAGGUUUGUUUUAUAGAGCUUCAUUAAAUUGAGGUUUUACUGUAUUUCAGUUCAAGUAAGGUACAGUUUUAAAUGCCAAAUAGCAUGUGAAUUAAGGUGAUCAUCAAUAGGCCAAAUGAAGUCUAUCUCAUGUGAUGUGCUAUGUUUUAGGUGCUUAAGAAAGAGAAAAACACCAAGGAAACCGCAGGAGAUGUAAAGCAAGGACACAAGAAGACAUAUUAGAGAACUCUGAGGUCAAAUACUAGGUUAGAUAGCAUGGCAAGGUAAGAACUUCUCAUAUAAAUACCACCUAUAAUAUUUACCAAAAACAAAGAUGUGGAAGGAAAUAUUUGGAAACAUUGAUUGUUGUUAACCCUUUCAACCUCUUCAAUCUGAUUGAAAAUUCUCCUUUCCUUUUUAAGCAUAUUUUCAGAUAUUAUUGGCUCAGAGAAUUUGGUGUUACAUCAAGGUAACACUCUGUAGAUAGAAAAAGUUGAUUAGACCCAGUGAUAACAGUUGAAUAUUUACCCUUUCAAAUGUCCUGAUCUAAUCUGAAAUUCUCCUUUCCUCCAUAACACAUUUGUUGUAUUUUUAGUGUAGAGAACUUGGUGUAAAGCUGUACAUUAAGAUCACAUUCUCUUGAACAAUGCUGUUAGACCUAAUGGUAACAACUGAUUGUUUAGUGAGAUCUUGAGGGUAAUAGUUGUCUUGAAAAGACAUUGUGCCACAGACAGUUUGGGGAGUUACUAAUGAGAUCUUGGGAGUGAAAAGAUUAUUUAGGAACAAACUAGAAGAAAAGCCUCAAAGUUUUACCUGUCAGUUACAGAGUGUGUAAACAAGAUGAUCCCAGUGUUUACAAUAACUACUUUAUUAGUUGAAUUUUAGUUCAAAGGGAGUUUGGUUUGUUGCUGUGGAUCCAGAAGAUCUAAAGGAAAUUACUGGGAAAAAACAAAGACUGAAACUGGAGAUACAAAUGAUUUGCUAGUUACUGGAAGCCUGGAAGGGAUAACAAAAAGGAUUGCACUGGACUGUGAAAUGGCAGGAGUUGGGUUUGAUGCCAAGGGGCACAUGUUGGCAUGACUGUCUAUUGUUAACUGACAUGGUCUUGUGGUCUGUGAGUCAUUUGUCACACCAUAGGAGAAAGUGGUUGAUUAUCGCACUCAUGUCAGUGGAAUUGGACCUGACAAUCUGAAAAAUGCUCCAGAAUUCAAGACAGUUCAACUUGAAGUUCAAAAAUUCUUAAAGAGAAAACCCCUGUGGGAUAUUCCUUGAAGAAUGACCUUGAGUCUCAAGAAGAGACUUGGAGCAGAGCAGGGACUGGUUUCUAAUAUCUCCUUACUGCAUCACCCUGCAAAGGUCACAAGAAUACUGCAAAUGAUCACCAAAUUAGGAAGCUGCUGAUUAUCAAACAAAUUCUCCUUGAUGACAACACAGAAAAUAUAGAGACAACAGUGUGGAGAAUAUCAAUGUUGAUGUCAGGGUGUAAAAGGAUUAGGUUAAUUUUGCCCCUUAUUAGGUUAAGGACAAUCAGCAAAAGUUAAGGGGAAAAUUUACACACUUGGUUGAUUACAAGCAGAAACACAGCUGUUUUUCUUGAGUUUAGGCCAAUUUUCAACAAAAGCAUCUGGAAAAAAGUCACAAUCUAUUUACAUUUGUAUUUAUACCAUGUACAAGAUACACAGGUAGCCAUGAAGCUUUACACUUUGCACAGAAAACAGUGGGAAAGACAAUUACAUGAAGCUAGAGUAGAGCCUUCUAAGAGAGCACUUGUAAAUAGACUUGUUACCUCAAGUCAUAAUAGAUAACAGAGCUACAAAGAUGGUAAAACAGCAGUGCAAUAUGGGAUUGUUUGCAAAGUUGGGGGGCACAGGGUUACCAAGUAACACAAACCUCAUCAAGACAAUUUUUUAUUGGUGAAGGAGUUGUGCUGGAGACUUUUUAGUCAGUGAAUUCAAAGAGUUUUUCCUGCGCAGGGUUAUUGGAGACUUUUUAGUCAGUGAAUUCAAAGAGUUUGUCCUGUGCAGGGUUAUUGGAGACUUUUUAAUCAGUGAAUUCAAAGAGUUUGUCCUGUGCAGGGUUAUUGGAGACUUUUUAGUCAGUGAAUUCAAAGAGUUUGUC